GGUCAAGCUACUAAGGGCAUGCGUGUGGAUGCCUUGGCGCAAGUAGGCGAUGAAGGACGUGGCCAGCUGCGAUAAGCCCCGGGAAGGUGCAAGCAACCUGUGAUCCGGGGAUUUCCGAAUGGGGGAACCCAGCCGAUGGGAACAUCGGUUAUCCUGCGAUGAAUUCAUAGUCGUAGGAAGCGAACGGGGGGAAGUGAACCAUCUCAGUACCCCUAGGAAUAUAAAACAACCGUGAUUCCGCUAGUAGUGGCGAGCGAAAGCGGAUCAGCCUAAACCGAUCAAUCCGCAAGGAGAGGUCGGGGUUGCAGGACCACAAAAAUCAAGCAGUCGAUCGGGCUUCCAAGCUCGGCAGAUUGCUUGGUUUAAAGAGGGAUAAGGGAGCGUUAGGAGAACGGUCUGGAAAGGCCGGCCAUAGAGGGUGACAGCCCCGUAUUCGAAAAUGCAAUCUUCCUUUAAGUGGCUCCUAAGUACCGCGGGACACGUGGAACCCUGCGGGAAUCUACCGGGACCAUCCGGUAAGGCUAAAUACUCACUUGCGACCGAUAGUGAACUAGUACCGUGAGGGAAAGGUGAAAAGAACCCCUGCGAGGGGAGUGAAAUAGUACCUGAAACCGCAUGCCUACAAGCAGUGGGAGGGCUAUGCCGCGCAAGCGGAAUGCCUGACCUCGUGCCUAUUGAAUAAUGAGCUGGCUAGUCAAUCUCAGUGGCAAGGUUAAGCGAAAGCGAGCCGAAGCGAAAGCGAGUCUGAAUAGGGCGAUUUAGUCGCUGGGAUUGGACGCGAAGCGGGAUGAUCUACCCUUGGCCAGGAUGAAGGUCGUGUAACAGCGACUGGAGGUCCGAACCGGUGUUGGUUGAAAACAGCUCGGAUGAGCUGAGGGUAGGGGUGAAAGGCUAAUCAAAUUCCGUGAUAGCUCGUUCUCUCCGAAAUAGCUUUAGGGCUAGCCUUGCGUGGUCCGUCGCGGUGGUAGAGAACUGAAUGAACUAGGGGCCUUUCCAGGUUACCGAAUUCAAUCAAACUUCGAAUGCCGUACACGUGUAGCGCAGGAGUCAGACGGCGGGGGCUAAGCUUCGUCGUCAAAAGGGGAAGAGCCCAGACCAUCAACUAAGGUCCCUAAAUUCAUGCUAAGUGGGAAAGGAAGUCGAGUUCCUCAGACAGCCAGGAGGUUGGCUUAGAAGCAGCCAUCCUUUAAAGAAAGCGUAACAGCUCACUGGUCGAGGGACUCGGUGCCGACAAUCCAUCGGGGCUCAAGCAUGGUACCGAAGUUAUGGAUGCGAUGUCCUUCGGGGCGUCGUGUGGUAGGAGAGCAUUCUUAACUGAUGUGAAGGUUGAGUGUAAACACAACUGGAUCGUUAGGAAGAGACUCUGCCAGCAUAAGUAGCGAAAAACCAGGUGAGAACCCUGGUCGCCGUAAGUCUAAGGUUUCCUGAGAAAGGUUAAUCCGCUCAGGGUUAGUCGGAGCCUAAGGUGAGGCCGAAAGGCGUAGCCGAUGGACACACGGUUAACAUUCCGUGACUACUUUAAUUCGAUCAAGACCGAUGCGGGGACGCAUCACGUACAUCCCUCUUGUAAUGGCUUAAUGGAGGGACGAAGUGAGGUUGGGAAGGGGAAAUCCGCCCGGCCGUAUGCCAGGAAAAUCCGCUAAGGAGAGUUGAAGUAUCCGUACCACAAACCGACACAGGUGGACGAGAUGAGUAUUCUCAGGCGCUCGGGUGAUGGUCUGUUCAGGAACUAGGCAAAUUGACUCCGUAACUUCGGGAUAAGGAGUGCCCUCUUCGGAGGGCCGCAGUGAAGCGCAUCAGGCGACUGUUUAACAAAAACACAGGUCUCUGCAAAGUCGAAAACGACGUAUAGGGGCUGACGCCUGCCCGGUGCCGGAAGGUUAAAGGGAGCGGUUAGCCGCAAGGCGAAGCUGUGAACUGAAGCCCCGGUGAACGGCGGCCGUAACUAUAACGGUCCUAAGGUAGCGAAAUUCCUUGUCGGGUAAGUUCCGACCUGCACGAAUGGCGUAACGAUCUGAUGACUGUCUUAACAGGCCGCCCGGCGAAUUUGUGGUUCCGGUGAAGACGCCGGAUGCCCGCCACAAGACGGAAAGACCCCGUGCACCUUUACUAUACCCUAUCAAUGAAUUAUGGGGUGCUCUGCGCAGGAUAGGUGGGAGGCUUUGAGUCCGGAAUUUCGGUUUCGGAGGAGCCACCAGUGAGAUACCACCCUGAGCAUUCUGUGAUUCUAACUUACUCCCGUAAUCCGGGAGAAGGACAUUGGUAGGCGGGUAGUUUGACUGGGGCGGUCGCCUCCUAAACUGUAACGGAGGCGUUCGAAGCUUGGUUCAGGAGGUUUGGAAAUCCUCCUUUGAGUACAAUGGCAUAAACCAGGUUGACUGCGAGACCAACGAGUCAAGCAGGUACGAAAGUAGGACAUAGUGAUCCGGUGGUUCUGUAUGGAAGGGCCAUCGCUCAACGGAUAAAAGGUACGCCGGGGAUAACAGGCUGAUCGGAGUCAAGAGUUCACAUCGACGCUCCGGUUUGGCACCUCGAUGUCGGUUCAUCGCAUCCUGGGGGUGUAGAAGCUCCCAAGGGUUAGGCUGUUCGCCUAUUAAAGCGGUACGUGAACUGGGUUCAGAACGUCGCGAGACAGUUCGGUCCCUAUCUGUGGUGGGCGCAGGAAAAUUGAGGGGGGUUGUCCUUAGUACGAGAGGACCGGGAUGAACAGACCUCUUGUGAUCCAGUUGUCACGCCAGUGGCAGAGCUGGGUAGCGAAGUCUGGUCGGGAUAAACGCUGAAUGCAUAUAAGCGUGAAACCUUCCCCGAGAUGAGUUUUCCCAACCGAAAGGUAACAAGGGCCGUGGAAGACGACCACGUCGAUAGGACGGGAGUGGAAGUGGGGUAACCUAUGAAGCUAACCGUUACUAAUAGCCCGUUCGGCUUGACCAU
rnacentral:rRNA from 1 species